rnacentral:tRNA from 1 species
GAGGGUAUAGCUCAAGUGGUAGAGCACAUGCUUAGUAUGCAGGAGGUCCUGGGUUCAAUUCCCGGUGCCUCCU